UACGUAGGGCGCAAGCGUUGUCCGGAAUUAUUGGGCGUAAAGAGCUCGUAGGCGGUUUGUCGCGUCUGCUGUGAAAACCUAAGGCUCAACCUUGGGCUUGCAGUGGGUACGGGCAGACUAGAGUGCGGUAGGGGUGACUGGAAUUCCUGGUGUAGCGGUGGAAUGCGCAGAUAUCAGGAGGAACACCGAUGGCGAAGGCAGGUCACUGGGCCGCAACUGACGCUGAGACGCGAAAGCGUGGGGAGCAAACAGG
rnacentral:rRNA from 1 species